AUGCGAUGAGUCGAAUAAUUCUACUUUUGUAGAAUUUCGAAGCUAAGGAGUGCUGGGAAAUUGAGUUUUCCGCGCAGGAAGCGUGAGCAUUUGUCAAAAUGUGUGAACCUUUUUGACACACUUUUAGUGCCUUAAAAAGCCCUUGUAAAAGGGCUUUUUUUU
rfam:Lactococcus lactis subsp. cremoris TIFN6 scaffold10.1_50, whole genome shotgun sequence.